rnacentral:tRNA from 1 species
GGGGUUGUAGCUCAGUGGUAGAGCACUUACCUAGCAUUUAAUGAAGCACUAGGUUCAAUCCUCAGCACCA